rnacentral:tRNA from 1 species
UCCCCAGUGGCGCAAUUGGUUAGCGCACGGUACUUACAAUGCCGGGGUUGUGAGUUCGAGCCUCACCUGGGGAA